AUUGAACGCUGGCGGCAGGCCUAACACAUGCAAGUCGAGCGGAUGAAGGGAGCUUGCUCCUGGAUUCAGCGGCGGACGGGUGAGUAAUGCCUAGGAAUCUGCCUGGUAGUGGGGGAUAACGUCCGGAAACGGGCGCUAAUACCGCAUACGUCCUGAGGGAGAUAGUGGGGGAUCUUCGGACCUCACGCUAUCAGAUGAGCCUAGGUCGGAUUAGCUAGUUGGUGGGGUAAAGGCCUACCAAGGCGACGAUCCGUAACUGGUCUGAGAGGAUGAUCAGUCACACUGGAACUGAGACACGGUCCAGACUCCUACGGGAGGCAGCAGUGGGGAAUAUGGGACAAUGGGCGAAAGCCUGAUCCAGCCAUGCCGCGUGUGUGAAGAAGGUCUUCGGAUUGUAAAGCACGUUAAGUUGGGAGGAAGGGCAGUAAGUUAAUACCUUGCUGUUUUGACGUUACCAACAGAAUAAGCACCGGCUAACUUCGUG
rnacentral:rRNA from 1 species